rnacentral:snRNA from 1 species
GGGUUAAAUCCUAGUUAUUACAG